AAUCUUUACAGACAUCUCCAAAAAAAAAAUGUAUCAUCAUCCACGGGGAAAAGCUGUUUGCUGGACAUGUAGGCAUGAUUGUUUUUCUGGUCGGUCAGGAUCCCAUCAAGUUAGUGAGAGAAAUGAUGCACCUUAUUUGGAGGCGAGCAACAACAUCCAGAGGUCCAUGCACGUGCCAGGAAAUGGUGUAUUUACUCACCACUACAACCAUAUGGAGAACGGCAGUCAAACACAUUCUAUGAAAAUUAUAAAGGAUGGCAGAAUUGUUGCCAGUGAAGACAUCAGCUUUGUGUUUCCAAAUUAAAAGUCAGACAGAACAAGCUGGAAGUAAAUUAUAAGGAAAUAGAAAGAAAUCAAGUUCUAAAUGCAAAUUCAGACACCUAUUUUGUAUCUACUUUGUUUAACAUCAGUGGUAUAGAUUUAGUUAAUUAAAAUUCUACAUGUGUAGAUUGUCAGUUGGAGUUUGUGUGUACAUUUAUUUC